rnacentral:rRNA from 1 species
GGACUACCGGGGUAUCUAAUCCUGUUUGAUCCCCGCACUUUCGCAUCUCAGCGUCAAUAUUAGGCCAGAUAGCCGCCUUCGCCACCGGUGUUCCUCCUGAUAUCUACGUAUUUCACCACUACACCAGGAAUUCCACUAUCCUCUCCUAUAUUCAAGCCCACCAGUAUCAAGUGCACGUCCUGGGUUGAGCCCAGGGAUUUCACACCUGACUUGAUAGGCCGCCUACAUGCGCUUUACGCCCAAUGAUUCCGAACAACGCUAGGACCCCUCGUCUUACCGCGGCUGCUGGCAC